GUCUGACCAUUGCAUUUGUGAGCAUGGAGCGCACCGGUGAACGAGGGGAUGACGUGAGCAUUUCUCAUCGAAGGGGUAAUUCGUGAGGCUGGGAUCAC
rnacentral:SRP_RNA from 13 species